AUUGAACGCUGGCGGCAGGCCUAACACAUGCAAGUCGAACGAGUGGCGGACGGGUGAGUAAUGUCUGGGAAACUGCCCGAUGGAGGGGGAUAACUACUGGAAACGGUAGCUAAUACCGCAUACCAUCGGAUGUGCCCAGAUGGGAUUAGCUAGUAGGUGGGGUAACGGCUCACCUAGGCGACGAUCCCUAGCUGGUCUGAGAGGAUGACCAGCCACACUGGAACUGAGACAAGGUCAAGACUCCUACGGAAGGCAGCAGUGGGGAGGAUUGCACAAUGGGCACAAGCCUGAUGCAGCCAUGCCGCGUGUAUGAAGAAGGCCUUCGGGUUGUAAAGUACUUUCAGCGAGGAGGCGUUACUCGCAGAAGAAGCAACGGCUAACUCCGUGCCAGCCGCCGCGGUAAUAC
rnacentral:rRNA from 1 species